AACUAUAUAAAACUCUAAACAACGGAUAUCUUGGCUCUUGCAACGAUGAAGAACGCAGCGAAAUGCGAUACUUAAUGUGAAUUGCAGAACCUUGUGAAUCAUCAAAACUUUGAACGCAUAUUGCACAUCCAUUUAAUCGUGGAUGUACAUCUGUUUGAGGGUCAGUAUAUCUUCUAC
rnacentral:rRNA from 1 species